rnacentral:rRNA from 1 species
CAAUAGCGUAUAUUAAAGUUGUUGCGGUUAAAAAGCUCGUAGUUGGAUUUCUGCUGAGGACGAUCGGUCCGCCCACUGGGUGAGUAUCUGGCUCGGCCUUGGCAUCUUCUUGGAGAACGUUGCUGCACUUGACUGUGUGGUGCGGUAUCCAGGACUUUUACUUUGAGGAAAUUAGAGUGUUUCAAGCAGGCGCACGCCUUGAAUACAUUAGCAUGGAAUAAUAAGAUAAGACUUUGGUGGUCUAUUUUGUUGGUUUGCACGCCAAAGUAAUGAUUAAUAGGGAUAGUUGGGGGUAUUCGUAUUCUAUUGCUAGAGGUGAAAUUCUUAAAUUUAUGGAAGACGAACUACUGCGAAAGCAUUUACCAAGGAUGUUUUCAUUAA